UUGUCUCCUCAUUAUUUUGUUGUAGGUCAAGGUGGAUCCCCGGCAGUUCCGUAUUUUACUUUUCAGAGUCGAUGGCCAAGAUGGAUCCAUUGCAUGUUUUACCAUGCAAUCAGGAUGUUUCACUGUUGGUGGGCAUCUUAUAAUCUCCAAACAAACCUCAGAUUUAUUGGAAGUUCUGCUCCUGUCCAGGCCGAGAUCCGGUUAGAGAUAAACUGAGCCCCUUCGGGAGAGCUUUUGGAAACCUUGGACCAGAGCAAUGCCAAUGAAGAAUCAACUUUAUGCUGAAAUCAAUGCUUUGCUUCUAUUACUUGUUCAAUCCACAAUGUCUGAGGCUAAGCAAAGAGGAAAGCUGCAAGCACUUCUAUGCAAAGUCUUUACCAUUCUCCUUCCAAAACUCAGGGAACUCCAGGAGCAAUAGAAUCAUGUAACGUUGCCUUAUCGUUAUUUUGAUGGUUAUUUCAGUCCAUUCCAAUUCAGUGGGAUUUCCUCGAGUCCUGUAUAAAAGGGCUUUUAGGGGGGGAAAUAGAAAUGAGACACAUUAUUUAUCCCAAUCCGGGUGCAGGUCUGGUUUGGGGACUACCUUAGUGGAUGACUUGUGGAGGUGCAUCCUUUUUGGACUUAGUGGAUUCCAUACCAUUGGCCAAAGCGUCCUUCUUGGGCAUCUGUCUGGAAGAGGAAAUGGAAGGAAAUAGGAAGCUACCUUAUACCGAGUCAUACCAUUGGUCAAUGUUGUCUACGGUACACUGACUGGCAGCGGCUCUCUGGGGUUUCAUACAGGGAGUCAUUCUCAACCUUACCUGGCGAUGCCAGGACCAAACCUGGGACCUUCUGCAUGCAAAGCAGCUGCUGUACCACUGAGCCGUGGUGGUUCCAUCUGACAGAUCCCAGAAGAUGAGGCCCCGUGGCCAAUGCCCUCGAGGUUCAUUUGGGUUCCAUACUGACCCCUGUACUAUUUAACAUCAACAUGGAACCACUUGGAGAGGUCUUUUGGGGAUUUGAUCCCAUGAACAUGUUGACGACACACAGCUCUCCUUUUGCUUUCCAUUCUAUGCAAAGAAAGCUGUAAAGGUUCAGAUUCUAUGUUUGAGCACAGUGGUGGGAUUGUGCGUUGGCUAACAAACAGACUUAAUUCAUACAAGACAUACAAGACAGUUGGUCCGUAGGAAAGCUGAUCCAGAAUUAAGCAUACAACCUACAGUGGAUUGGAUUGCACUCUCUUUGAAGUUUGGGGGGGGGGGUUUACAAUUGGAUCUGUCUUUCUGUUUGAAAAUAAUGAGUCAGAAAAAUAAACUCUGGAUGGGUUAUGUGUGUAUGUGCCCACUCCUCCCCCAACUCAUAUUUAGCAAUAGACCAAAGCAAGCUCACAUGUGGUCUUUCCACUAGGUGGAGACAGUAUUCUGUAUGUUCAUGUGAUGCAAAUGGAGUGUGUUGUUGCCCAAUUGUAUGUCAUGAUCGCUGCUUUUUACAACCAAAUCCCAGUGUUAAUACACAGCCUGAACAACUGCAAUGUAACAUACUGAAUUUGCGCUAUUGUAGUUUCUAUGAGUAAGUAAAAUGAUGUAUGUUAAUAUUUAUAUCUUAUAUUCUCUACUUGCAAACGCUGGAUUUUGCAACCCAGCCCCCCCCUUUAUUGGGCUCUAAGAAAAUUCUUGCUCUUAAAAGAGGAAUUAUUUUUCAAAAACCUUUAUUGCUGGAACUUCUGCUGACCUCAGUGACCCAGAGAUGGUGGUGGGUCUGUAGCAGUUCUUGGUCACUUAGAUUCUGUUUUUCUAUUGUGGUUUCUUUUUAUAUCUUUAAGCUCAGAUGUGAAUUUUCAGUGGACCUUAGUGUGUGUGCGGAUAGAUGCAAUGUGGUUAUAAAUUUCUACAUGCCAAGGUUGCUCCUUAGGAUAUAUACCACUGGAAUGUUACAAACACUUUAUGUUGUCCUUCUCAUCAAAUAACCUGUUUCAACGUUUACCUUCUUGGAGGGGGGUUUACAUCUGUGCCCUUUCAUGGAAGGAGCAUUAAUACUGUGACAGAACACUUACGGGGCAACAUUGCAAAAUAUAAUCUUUUUGUCACAUGCUUUUUCUUUACAAAAAUAAAAUGGUUCUCUCUUGCCAA